GGUGUGGAUUUCUAAAAAUUCUUAUCUAAAAAUUUGAUUCUCAAUUUUUCCUUCCAGCUCUAGUCUACCACGUAUACUUAGAAACAAAAAUGGCUGAAAAUAACAAAUUGAGUGCAAGUUCCGAAUAUCAGUCUGAUGUCUCUACCGAGUUGAAUGUGAGUGCCAGUCUCAGUAACAAUGAAAGUUCAGGCAGCAAUGUUCGCGAUUCAGUCACCAGUAUCACUACAGCUAAUGCCCAGUCCAGCACUCCCGAUUUAAAAAAUGUUCAAGACCUUACUCGCUAUGUUGAACUUCUUUUACAACAAAUGCAAGAAAGAUUUCAAAAUAUCUCGGAUCAAGUGCUUUCGAGAAUUGAUGAUAUGGGAAACCGUAUUGAUGAUUUAGAGAGGAAUAUUGCAGACCUGGUGACCCAAAAUGGAGUUGAAGGACCCCCAAAAUAGGAAGCCACAUUUAUUCAAGAACAUUAUGGAUUCUUUGCACAUCAAUCUUUAGUUGCACCAUACAUUGUGUAAUGAAAUGUUCCAAGGAAAGAUAAGAAUGGUACUCGAUCAUCUUCUUAAUACCAGCCUGAGGAUAUGUCUGAAAUUCCAAUAAAGAUGAGAUUAUGAACACCAGA
rnacentral:misc_RNA from 1 species